GCCAGGUACUUUCUGCGUGUAAUAGCACGUGCCAAAUCGUACUAUUCAUAAGCACUUUCAUGGUAUAAUGGCUGCAUUGCGGCAGCAGCCUCAGUCACCAUUCACUUUAACUGCUUUUUUUCCCAAUAUGAUAGUUAAAGGUGACUAUAAUGCCAUUCACACAGAGCGUUUUUGCGUUUAAAAAAAAGCAAGACGCAUUUUAUAUAAGUUAAAGUUCUUUUAACUUGAGCUUUAGAACGCGGAGUCAUGCGCAAGACGCAGGUGGAACGCAAAAACGUGUUUGAAUUGCUGGAAAACAAUUGUUUUCCCCCACUUAAUAAAUUAAGUCAAACGCGUUUGAAAUAACACCAAAGCGUGUAAAAUAUAACAGAAUUUUCGUUUUGGGGUGAGCUACCGCUUUAAAAUUAUAUUCGCAAGGGUGUUUGUUCGUUGAAACCGACUCCCGGGUUGUAUGACACGCUGACGCAGAUUGACUUUGACCUUGAGAGUCCUAAUCACAUGUGGCAGUAUUUACCAUGUAAAGAAGUCUUCAGCCUGCCAGGAUGAUACAACCAGAGACACCAUAGUGGAGUUUCUCCCAUCAGAAGUUCUCAUAUCAUCUGCAGCGUCUCCAUUAAAGUUGCCACAGGCGCCACAAACUUUGUGUGUCAGGUCUCUGUUUACGGAUAACACGACUCCUUCAGUGACAGACUGUGUCGGCGAUUGUUGACUGUGAUGAUCAUGUCCUGGAAGAAGACGUGGACCAUUGUCACAUUACUAGGAUCAUUCCUGGCACAUGCAAGUGCAUCUAACACCACACGGAACCAGUCAGGAGACUCUUGAUCACAU